ACGCGCAUGCGGGAGGGGCAGCAGCCGGCCGGGCCUGGGAACGUGGCUGGUUGGAGGAGGUGGAUCACCGUUUCUGCGGUGGACGAUUUCGUCGGUGGUAGGCUGCUACCAUGAGGUUGAAUCAGAACACCUUGCUGCUGGGGAAGAAGGUGGUCCUUGUACCCUACACCUCGGAGCAUGUGCCCAGCAGGUACCACGAGUGGAUGAAAUCAGAGGAGCUGCAGCGUUUGACAGCCUCAGAGCCGCUGACCCUGGAGCAGGAGUAUGCCAUGCAGCGCAGCUGGCGGGAAGAUGCAGACAGUGAGGAGUGCCCCCCACUCCCCCUAGCCCUGGUACUGGGAGGGCUGACUCCACAGUCAGUCUCCAGGUUCCUUCCCUUUCCCAGCCCUGGCCACAGAAACUUUGUGAAAAGCCUGGAAGGUGCUGGAACUCCUGUAUUCUCAUGGCCCUGAAGCCAGUCCCUGUGGCUGACCCUUCUGUCCUCUUCCCCACCCAUUGCAUCGGGCUUGGAAGGAUUUGGAGAAAGUAGAGCAUUUGGGGCUCUGGCUGUAAAUUGAGGCCCUG
rnacentral:sRNA from 1 species